rnacentral:rRNA from 1 species
AAUCAACGCUGGCGGCGUGCCUAACACAUGCAAGUCGAACGCGAAAGCCCGCAAGGGUAAGUAGAGUGGCGCACGGGUGAGUAACACGUGGACAACCUGCCUUCGAGUGGGGAAUAACCUUCCGAAAGGAGGGCUAAUACCGCAUAACACCUCGGAACACAAGUUCUGGGGUUGAAAAGAGCAAUUUGCUCGAAGAGGGGUCCGCGCCUGAUUAGCUAGUUGGUGAGGUAACGGCUCACCAAGGCUUCGAUCAGUAGCCGUCCUGAGAGGGAGCACGGCCACACUGGAACUGAGACACGGUCCAGACUCCUACGGGAGGCAGCAGUGGGGAAUUUUGGCAAUGGGCGCAAGCCUGACCAAGCAACGCCGCGUGGGUGAUGAAGUAUCUUGGUACGUAAAACCCUUUCGGCAGGGACGAACCUAAUGACGGUACCUGCGGAAGAAGCCCCGGCUAACUCCGUGCCAGCCGCCGCAGUAAU